UGAAAACUUGGGUCAAGCAACAUUUCAAC
rnacentral:piRNA from 1 species